rnacentral:rRNA from 1 species
AGUGAACGCUGGCGGCGUGCUUAACACAUGCAAGUCGAACGAGAACGGAAUAUAGCUUGCUAUAUUUGUCAGCUAAGUGGCGCACGGGUGAGUAAUGUAUAGAUAACCUGCCCUUAAGAAAGGAAUAACAGUUGGAAACGACUGCUAAUGCCCUAUAUGCCUUUAAUACAUAAGUAUGCAAGGGAAACGCUUUAGUGCUUAAGGAUGGGUCUGUAUGGUAUCAGCUUGUUGGUGAGGUAAUGGCUCACAAAGGCUAUGACGCCUAACUGGUUUGAGAGGAUGAUCAGUCACACUGGAACUGAGACACGGUCCAGAAUCCUACGGGAGGCAGCAGUGGGGAAUAUUGCACAAUGGACGAAAGUCUGAUGCAGCAACGCCGCGUGGAGGAUGACACAUUUCGGUGCGUAAACUCCUUUUAUAUAGGAAGAUAAUGACGGUACUAUAUGAAUAAGCACCGGCUAACUCCGUGCCAGCAGCCGCAGUAA